GGCCUCGUAGCUCAGCUGGUACAGCGUGCGCUGUACAAAAGCGUAGGUGGUGUCUAUGCGUGGGUUCGAAUCCCACCGAGGCUA
rfam:Echinostoma caproni strain Egypt genome assembly, scaffold: ECPE_scaffold0007522